UACACUCCUGCGGGAGGCAGCAGCGGGGAAUAUUGCACAAUGGGCGCAAGCCUGAUGCAGCCAUGCCGCGUGUAUGAAGAAGGCCUUCGGGUUGUAAAGUACUUUCAGCGGGGAGGAAGGCAAUACGGUUAAUAACCGUGUUGAUUGACGUUACCCGCAGAAGAAGCACCGGCUAACUCCGUGCCAGCAGCCGCGGUAAUACGGAGGGUGCAAGCGUUAAUCGGAAUUACUGGGCGUAAAGCGCACGCAGGCGGUCUGUCAAGUCGGAUGUGAAAUCCCCGGGCUCAACCUGGGAACUGCAUUCGAAACUGGCAGGCUUGAGUCUUGUAGAGGGGGGUAGAAUUCCAGGUGUAGCGGUGAAAUGCGUAGAGAUCUGGAGGAAUACCGGUGGCGAAGGCGGCCCCCUGGACAAAGACUGACGCUCAGGUGCGAAAGCGUGGGGAGCAAACAGGAUUAGAAACCCCAGUAGUCCC
rnacentral:rRNA from 1 species